rnacentral:rRNA from 1 species
ACUCAAAUGAAUUGACGGGGGCCCGCACAAGCGGUGGAUCAUGUGGUUUAAUUCGAAGCAACGCGAAGAACCUUACCUGGAUUUGACAUCCCUUGACAACUGUAGAGAUACAGCUUUGGUAGCAAUACCACAAGGUGACAGGUGCUGCAUGGCUGUCGUCAGCUCGUGUGGUGACAUGUUGGGUUAAGUCCCGCAACGAGCGCAACCCUUGUCUUUAGUUGCCAUCAUUUAGUUGGGCACUCUAAAGAGACUGCCGUGGUUAACACGGAGGAAGGUGGGGAUGACGUCAAGUCCUCAUGGCCUUUAUAUCCAGGGCGACACACGUGAUACAAUGGACGAUACAAACGGAUGCUAAAUGGCAACAUGGAGCUAAUCUGAAAAAGUCGUUCUCAGUUCGGAUUGGAGUCUGCAACCCGACUCCAUGAAGUUGGAAUCGCUAGUAAUCGCGGAUCAGCACGCCGCGGUGAAUACGUUCCCGGGCCUUGUACACACCGCCCGU